UUUUUUUUAAGCCAGGAUCUGUAAUGCAUGGCUGAGAUGAAGAAACUGGAAGAUGGGCAAAAAAAUUCCCAGAUGUUUCAGCCUACUUAUUUAGCCUUUUCUCAGAGGAUGGGCUUGAGAUAUUGGAUCAUUCUCUGGACUCUGCCAUCAAUUGUGCCCUUCCUGAGCUGUGGAUCCCAACUGGAUGAAAAACCUGAGAGGAUUGAGAAGAUGCUCUUCAGCCACCUCCUUGCCUGGACACUUCGGUAUUAUCUGUCGUUGCUGAUUUGCUUUCUGUAG
rnacentral:lncRNA from 1 species